rnacentral:rRNA from 1 species
CGGGACGGGUGAGUAACGCGUGGGCAACCUACCGUAUACAGGGGGAUAACACUUAGAAAUAGGUGCUAAUACCGCAUAAGCGCACAGCAGUGCAUACUGGAGUGUGAAAGGCCGAGACGGUAUACGAUGGGCCCGCGUCUGAUUAGCCAGUUGGCAGGGUAACGGCCUACCAAAGCGACGAUCAGUAGCCGGCCUGAGAGGGCGGACGGCCACAUUGGGACUGAGACACGGCCCAGACUCCUACGGAAGGCAGCAG